CGUCGCCCUGGUAACCCGGGAGGCGGAAAGGCGCUGAAUCACCAGCGUCUGUGCAGCCGCAGGGGUAGGCAGGUGUCGCCUGCAGGUGUGCCUCUAAGGUGUCCUGACUGGACACCAGCUUAUGGGCUGUGGGGAGCACCACGGAGCCUGGAGAUUGCUAGGGAUGGAGUUCUAGAGGCUACAUCUGGCUCAUCCACCGCCAAAGGGAGCCUGCUCCAAAUCCAUUGCCUUGGAGGCGUCAUCCUGUGUGAGGCAGAAUGGUGUCCCCAACAGGAGCUCUGUCUUCGUUGCUGCUGCUGGCGGCCAUCGCAGGUGGCAGGGGCCAGCAGUGCGGUGAGGGGAGGACAUAUUCCAACGCCAUCAUCUCACCUAACCUGGAAACCAUUAGAAUCAUGCGGGCAUCUCAAACCUUCUCCGUGGGAGACUGCACGGCCGCUUGCUGUGACCUGCCCAGCUGCGACCUGGCCUGGUGGUUUGAGGGCAGCUGCUACCUGGUGAACUGUGCGCACCAGGAGAACUGUGAGCCCAGGACGACAGGCCCCAUCCGCUCUUACCUCACUUUCGUGCGCAGACCUGUCCAGAAGCCCGAGCAGCUGCUGGACUACGGAGACAUGAUGCUGGGCAGGGGUUCCCCCUCUGGUGCUUGGGGAGACUCCCUUGAGGACCUCAGGAAGGACUUGCCCUUUCUAGGCAAAGAUGGGGGACCAGAGGAGGCUGCUGAGUACUCAGAUGACUACAAGGAGCUGGAGCAGGGCCUCCUGCAGCCCUCCAACCAACAGGACCCCCGAGGCAGCGCCGAGUACCCCGACUGGAGCCUGCUGCCCGGCAGUGAGGGAGGUUUCAAUGUCUCAGCUGCAGAAGACAGCUCAGCUACUUCCACAGAGAAGCUGCAGGACCCCACACCCCAGCCGCUGGACCAGCAGCAGCUGGGGGCCCUGAAUGAGUCCACUGGGUUCCCUACCCCCGGGCACUCAGCAGAGAGCAGUGUGUGGCCCACCUCUGUGACCGUAUUACCUACAGGAGAGGGGAUGGAGAGAGAGACUUUACAGCUCCAAGAACAACCUAACAAUGGCUCUGGAAAAGAGGUUCUAAUGCCUUCCCCUAGUCUGCCCCCAGACAGCCUGGAGUCCAGCCCAGCCAUGGUGGAGAAAAGCUCCAUUCUUACGGUCACCCCAUGGAACACAGAACGCAGCACCCCAACAUUUCCCACCACUACAGUUCUCCCUGGGCUGACCCCACCUGAGAGGCCUGUGUCACCGACUACUUCUUCCAGGACAGUAAAGGCGCUUGCAGUGUCUGCUGGAGAUAACCUUGUGAUAACCUUACCGGACAGUGAAGCAGAACUGAAGGCCUCUGUUGAGCCAGCGCCCCCAGCAGACACAACUUACAGCUAUAAAUGGAGUUUAAUGAGCCACCCUGUAGACUUUCAAGGUAAAAUCAAACAAGAGAACAAGCCAGCUCUUCACCUCUCUCAAUUAUCCGUGGGAUUCUAUGCCUUCAGAGUAGCUGUUUCUAGUGAGGAUGCAUUUGGAGAAGCAUAUGUCAACAUCACUGUUAUGCCAGCAGCAAGAGUCAACCAGCCACCCACGGCAGUUGUUUCUCCUCAGAUACAGGAACUCACUGUGCCUUUGACCUCAGCCCUCAUCGACGGCAGCCAAAGUACAGAUGAUACUAAGGUAGUGAGCUACCACUGGGAAGAAGUCGACGGGCCCUUCCUCGGAGAGGUGUUUCUGGCUGAUGCUCCAGUCUUACGCUUGUCGAACUUAGAUCCUGGUAACUACACUUUUAGGUUGACCAUCACAGACUCAGAUGGCGCUACUAACUCCACCACAGCAACCCUCAUCAUCCAUGGUGCCGUGGACUACCCACCUGUUGCCAAUGCAGGACCAAAUCAGACCAUAACUUUGCCCCAAAACACCAUAACUCUGAAUGGAAACCAGAGCAGUGAUGAUCACCAGAUUGUCCUCUAUGAGUGGUCCCCAGGCCCUGGCGGUGAGAGCAAAGAGGUGGUCAUGCAGGGAGCACAGACCCCAUACCUCCGCUUGUCUGAGCUGCGGGAAGGAGAGUACACAUUUCAGUUGAUGGUGACGGAUUCCGCAGGACAGCAAUCCGCUGCUCUGGCUGCCGUGAUUGUCCAGGCUGAGAACAACCAGGCUCCGGUGGCUGUGGCAGGCCCCGAUAAGGAGCUGUUCUUCCCGGUGCAGAGCGCUACACUGGAUGGGAGCGGGAGCAGUGAUGACCACGGCAUCGUCUGCUACCACUGGGAGCACAUCAGAGGUCCCAGUGCAGUGGAGAUGGAGAAUGUGGACAAAGCCAUAGCCACUGUCAGCGGGCUGCAGGUGGGUACUUAUCACUUCCGUUUAACCGUGAGAGACCAGCAGGGGCUGAGCAGCACAUCCACCCUCACCGUGGCUGUGAAGAAGGAAAAUAAUAGUCCUCCCAGAGCCCAGGCUGGUGGCAGACAUGUUCUUAUACUUCCCAAUAAUUCCAUUACUUUGGAUGGUUCAAGGUCUACUGAUGACCAAGGGAUUGUGUCCUAUCUGUGGAUCCGGGAUGGCCAGAGUCCAGCUGCUGGCGAUGUCCUCGGAGGCUCUGACAGCCUGGCGGCUCUGCAGCUCACCAAUCUGGUGGAAGGAGUCUACACUUUUCACCUGCGAGUCACUGAUGGUCAGGGGGCCUCGGACUCGGACACAGCCACAGUGGAGGUGCUACCAGACCCCAAGAAGGAUGGCCUGGUGGAGCUGAUCCUGCAGGUUGGUGUUGAGCAGCUGACCGAGCAGCAGAAGGAAACCCUAGUGAGGCAGCUGGCUAUGCUUCUGAAUGUGCUAGACUCAGACGUGAAGGUGCUCAAGAUCCAGGCCCACACGGAUGUCAGCACUGUGAUUGUAUUUUAUGUACAGAGUGGGCCACCUUUCAAGGUUUUCAGAGCUGCUGAUGUGGUCCGGAAUCUGCACAGGCGGCUUUCAAAGGAGAAGGCAACCUUCUUACUUUUCAAGGUCUUGAGGAUAGACACAGCAGGAUGCCUUCUCAAGUGUUCAGGUCAUGGCCACUGUGACCCCAUCACAAAACGCUGCAUUUGCUCCCAGCUGUGGAUGGAGAACCUCAUACAGCGUUAUAUGUGGGAUGGCGAGAGCAACUGUGAGUGGAGUGUGUUCUACGUGGCAGCGCUGGCAUUGAUCCUGACAGUGCUAACUGGAGCUGUGACUUGGUUGUGCAUCUGCUGCUGCAGGAGACGGAAAAGGACUAAGAUAAGGAAGAAAACCAAGUACACCAUCCUAGACAAUAUGGACGAACAGGAGAGAAUGGAACUGAGGCCCAAAUACGGCAUCAAGCACCGGAGCACCGAGCACAACUCUAGCCUGAUGGUGUCAGAGUCUGAGUUUGAAAGCGACCAGGACACACUGUUCAGCCGAGAGAGGAUGGAGAGCGGGAUCCUGAAGGGUUCCCUGAAUGGCUCUGCCAGAAGCGGCGAUUCCUUCAGUUACUGCUCAAAGGACAGAUAAUGGGCUGUGUGUGUGGGGACCUCUUGGGCCUGUGACUCAGUACCAGACAGUGGGAGUUAAAAUACAAAACUGACUCCUGCUGGGCACAGCACAAUUAUCAACCCUUCCCAGGGGCCUUGCUCUGUGCUCCACAUAUUUACUAAAAGACCUGGGUUCUUGGAAUUUUCAAGAACAAAAGAAAACACUGCUUAUUCAACUGAUGCUCAUUAAUAGAGAAAAGGGCGCAUAAAAAUGCCUGCAGAGUGUGCUGAAAACAGUUUUGUGUCUCUGUAGUAGACACUUUAUUAUAUUUAUUGUCCGUGGUGAAAUAAGGCGAACACUUGUUUAUUUAUAGCCCUGUCGGAAGGACAAGUUAAGAAGGGUUGAUUUCUCUGUAGAAGCUGUGACGGCCUUUAAGAAAAACCUUCCAGAAGUGGCUUCUCAGAGGGCCUGCAGGGUCAGCUUGCAGUUCAGAUAAGAGGCGGGAGCCACCUGUGUGCAGCGGGCUUCCUGUGUUGACACGAUGUUCGUGAUACAGCCAACUGCUGGCGAGGCUAGAAAUUCAGGAGUUAAGGAAGAAUCAGGAUCUAAGAACAGGAGGCAGUAGAGACAGAGAGAAGGUCGGCUUCCUCCCUUGCCCCAGAGAACACUUCGUUUUUUCUUAGAGGAAGAGGCUUCCAGCUCUCCUGCGUUCUGCUUUCCCAUGGCUGAAGUGACUCCUCGGGAGGCAGAAAUGGAUGGACCUCCGGAGGCAGAAAUGGAUGGACCUCCCGGCAUGUGAAGGAAAUUGCCCCUGGUGUGGCCAUGCCAGUGUCUGCCUGUGUCUCCGGUUCCUUGGGAUUUGGCUUGGCCUCCGUCAUUAGGGCUAAUGUCACCCUCAUCAGCUGUUUCUUCCUGAACUCAUCGGAAGCCAGGGGUUGGAGGAGACCCUCUGAGAUGACUUGGGGUUCAUCCAGGUCGUGGCGCCCUGGGGGAGAAAGCCCCACUAGGCGAGCUUAGUACCCGCACCGCGGGGGUCGGGGGCUGCCUGAGCGCCUGCCAGGUGCCCCUCUGAGGCCAAUCCCUGUGCACUCUGCGGGGAAGGGGAAGACGUUGGGUCUGUGAGCUGCGGUAUGUACUAAGGCUGCAGGCCCCGAUACUGAUACUGAGGAAGUGCACGAAGUCCACAGCCAACCCUUUCUAUCUCGAUGACUUGUGAAGCAGUACUACCCUCCUGCCUUCAUUAUGUCCAGCUGGAACCUGAGGGGAACUCUGCGCCUGGAGACCUGGGAGCUUGCCCUUGUCCUGGUUUCUGUUCAACCCUGAUCAAGGCUCUGCCUGGAGUUCCUUAAAUGGACGUUCCUUCAAUGGUUGCUUCUUAAAUGGACGUUCCUUAAAUGGUUGCUUCUUAAAUGGACGCAUUGGGGGUUGGGGAUGGUGAGGGGAAGGGGAGCUCAUGUUAACAUUCCAAGUCCCAACUUGAGGGAUGACGGUUGCCAAACCCGUACGUUGAACUCCUAACCCCCAAAUUCUAGAAUGUAUGAAGAGAUGAGUCCUUUAAGAGUGACUUAAAAUGAGGCUGUAAGGGUGGGUCCCUACCCAAUUUUAGUGGUGUCAUGAGGUGACUAGACCCCACAGAUGGUUCCCAGGGGCACACGGGCCCAGCGGGGAAACACGGAAAGGGCCAACUGUAGGCUGUAGGCCCAGGAGGCGGGGUCAUGGGACCUUUCCAGAGCUGACUAGGGCUUUGUCUUCAUGGAUGCAACCACCCAUGAAUUCAGUGGAUUAAUGCAGCGUCUUAACAGUGGGCCUACUGUUAAGGCCAGUUUGAUCCGGUCUUUUGCAUGUGAUGCCCUACACUGCCUAGGGACUCUGUUAGCAAGGGCAAAUGCCUUGACCUUGUACCAGAGCCAUGAGCCAAAACAAUACUACUUACGAGAGCUAUGGUAUUGUGUUAUCAGCAACAGAAAAUGCACUCAGACAAGUGUUCAUAUUUGAGGAUCCUAUCCGGAUAUCAGGGACUCAGAAAAUGCCUUUCUCAUACUUUUCUGUAAAAUAAAAGCCUGGAAAAGUGGCUAACAGUGGCGUGUGUAGAAGACUGAUUAAAGAAGACUGAUUAAAGAAGACUGGAGCACGCCCUUAGGCAGCUGCACAUCCCAAACAAGCACAUCCGUAGUUCUUGAAUUCUUGGUGUUGCUAAGCCCUUGUCCCAGCACAAGAUACUCACUGAUCCAGGGCUCGUUGGUGGGGAAUUACAAUUUCAUAUCCACACUGGUCUAACACUAUGCAGUAAAAACUCAACAACGAUCUGGUGUAGAAAAUGGCAAAAACACCACAGCCACUCACUUUGACACAGAGCUAGGAAGGCCUGUUAGUUCAACAUUUAUUAAUGAGAUUCAACUCUGUUGACCAGACAAUGUCAAACACUAGAAAAAUGAGUCAACGUAUCCGUGUUUACAAAGCAAAAUAUUUCUCAUCAAUCCCCAAGAUUUAUCUCACAAAGUAUGGCGUGAAACGAUCACAGUAUUAAGUAUUAUUCAAGUAAUAUUCUGUUUUUAAGUAGCUGCACAUGGGUAAUUAAAACACUGGGACCCAGCCUCCAGAGAGGCAAGCCCAAGGGAACCAAUUUGAAGGCUGUGACAUCACAGAAUAGGCUUGUUUACAUUGUGCGUCUGAUCUUUAUUUUUACCGAGUCCCAAAGAACAAAGAUACAGAAAGAAACAAGCACUUCCUAUGGGGUCAUAUUGAAAGGCCCCUCAGAUGGAAAAAGACACGAUGAACUUUGGCUCUUUCAGUGGGCCCCACUAGCUGGAGCAAAUAGUGCCUUUCAAGGGGACAGGAUUAUCAGGCUAAUCCUUUGGGUUAUUUGAUGAUUACUGCCAAGAACUCCUGGUAACAGAUGCCCAGAAAAUGUGCCUUCUUCACAGGAGGUGUUCAAGCGAAUGAACUUAUGUCUCAUAAACAUGGAGGCCACUGUCCCCCUCUUGGUACAGAUGAGGGCUUGUAGACCAGCUUUGCAGUAAAUCUUGUUGGCCAUACUGUCUCAGCAAAGCUACUCAGGCACAGGGCACGGAGGCUGUGUUCAUCCACAGACUCUGGGAUUUUAGGAAAUAACUGUUCUAGCCUACCGCAAUCCAUCUGAAUAUAUAAAACACUUGAAACUCACGAGUUAUACAAAAACAGGUGGCAGGUAGGAUUUGGCUCACAGGUUGUGGUUCAACACUUCUGUAUAUACAUCUUCAAAAAUUCCACUUAUCACAUAUCUUAUUGAACCAUAAGACAUUCACUUAAAAAACAUCUUUUAGCUGGGCACGGUAGUUAUAUAUGUGUAGUUCCAGCACAGGCAGUCAGGGCAAGAGAGUCUCAAUGUGAGCUUGGACUACAUGAAACCCAAACUCAAUGAAAACCCCUACAAACUAAAAAACUUAAUUGAUUUGGUGAUAACAUGCCUAUAGUAGCAACUAUCCGGGAGACUAAGGCAGGAGGAUCAUUUGAGUCUAGGAGUUUAAGGCCAACAAGAGCUCCUGUUUAAAAAAAUAUAUAUAAACCCCCCCAAAUAUUGUCUUCCCAUAACCCAAAACCAUUUUUCUAAGUAAGAUGUUCUUUCAUGUUAACUUAUUUUCAGUGGUGGUGAUUAAUCCCAUGGCUUCCAGCAUGCUAAGUAUAUACUUUACCACUGCUACCCGCCCCCAUUAUUUUCAUUACAAAAAUUGAUUUACAUUUAUUGUAACAAAUGUCUGGGCCAGUGAUAUACCCAGUGAGUCAAAUAUGCACAAGAAAGUAAUUGCCACACAGUCCAAGAACCCCCUGGCUGACACUGUUUAAACAAAUGACUUCUAUUCAUAUCUCAGCAUGUGUAUUUAUCUUCUACAAAAUAACAGCAGAGCAUUUGUAUUAACUGAAAAAAGAUGGGCACAAAUCUUAAGAAAUGAGAAAUGUUGGGGCUAGCAAGAUGGCUCUGCAGUCAAGAGCAGUGGUUGCUCUUUCAGGAGACCAGGGUUCACUUUCCCAGGGUCCACAUGGUGGCUUACAACUGUCUGUAACUCCAGUUCUAGGUGAUCUGAUGAUGCCCUCUUCUGGCCUCUGAGGGCACCAGUAUGCAUGUGCACAGACAUACAUGAAGGCAAAAUACAUCCAUAAAACUUUUUUUAAAAAAAUUAAUUAGAAAAUGCGAUAGAAACCAGCGACACACUAUACAAGACAAGGACAGAAACAGACUAUGAACAUGCUCAGCUGUGACUCUUGCCACUUGGGCGGCGUCCCUAGGAGGCAGAUUUCUACUUCUUGUGCACAGGAACUUUUAAAACCAUGAAUUCCUUAUUUGAAGCUCCCAGUGGCUUGGGACUUUAUAGUGUUUAGGAAUCGCUGCAGCUAGCUCUGCUGUCAUCCACAUUGGCUUCUCAGAGCCAGAGCCUCCACAGAGUAUGUGAGUAGGCUCUACACAGGGAGCGGGCGUGGGGCAGGGAGCUCCAUUGCUGCCUGUUGGGAAUAAACAGCUUCUAGGUGGAUGGGAACCUAGACUUUUCCUCAUUUAAAUAGUUUCAAAGUGAGACCAAUACCAGUUACAAGGGGGUUGGGGGGGGGGGGUGCGCGCACGCGCAAGCGCACAUGCCUUUGUUGCACUUGUGGAGGUCAGAGGACAAUGUGGGGUUGGUUCUCCCUUCCCAUCUUUAAGUAGGUUCUGGAGACUGAACUCAGGUAGGUCCCCAGGCUUGUCCAGCAAAGCUUUUAUCCAUUGAGCUAUCUUACAGGUCCAGGUAUGGUUUUGUUUUGUUUUGUUUUGUUUUUAAUCAUGAACCAUAACUACUUUUACUAGGACAAAAGUGCUGGGGAUUCAUGGCUUCAGCUCUCUUCCACAGGGGACUGGCAAUUAUGGAAAUCAUUUUUCACCGUGGUGAAAGUGCUUUUGUUCUUCUUGGAGUUUAGCAGCAGGUGUCCCCAGGGACAGAAAACCUGGCUCAGAGGUAGGCAGGUGAACACGUGGGCACCUGGCUUCCUUCCUCCACAAAGCCACUACCCGAGCUCAAGGUGUGGCAGGGUGGUACUGCUCAGAAUCAAAACUGUUCCUGUCCUCAAGCUGCGUUUUCAGUAUCUGUGAGGCAUUUUCACUUCCUUCAGGCUCACAGUGCCGUGUACGCCAAGCAUGAAUCUCUGUAAGUGGGGCAUGGCAUUCUAAACAGCACACCCAGGCAGUGGAGCUGCACAGCACUGGGAACAGCUGAGAGUCCAUGCUUUCCACUGGCCUGGCCUGGUGGUGCAGGCCUGUCAGGAAACUGAGGCAGGACGAUAAAAAGCUCAAGAAGGCCUGUCAGUGUAACUUACAAAGACUCUGUCUCAAAAUGAAAAUGAAAACAAAAGAAAACAUGUUGCGGGUAGUUCAGUGGUAGGACACAUGCUAGUGUGUACAAGGGCAUUGAUUCAACACCUAGCCCUAGAAAAGAAAUAACAGCUGUGCUUCGUCCUGCCAAACACCUCUGCUGCUGUUUGCCCCCAAGCUUGGGUUGAUUUUCUAAGAGAAAUGAAACAAAGCAUAAACUAAGUUUAGGGCAGUGGAGACUUCCAUUUACCCAGGUGUGGAAGAUCACGCCUGUAACCCCAGCACUCGAGAGGCUGAAAGAGUAGAAUUGUGAGUUUGAAGCCAGCCGAGGCUGCUUAGCAAGACCCUGUCUCAUAAAAGCAAACCAAAUGACAAUGAACCAAAACAGAACAAAAACAAACCAACCCUGCUUCCAGCAGUUAAAAAACAGCCCAGAGCCUGCUGGUGGUGGCCCAGGCCUUGAAUCCCAGAGGCAGGCGGAUCAAGGAGUCCAAGGCCAGCCUGGUCUACAGAGCAAGUUCCAGGAUAGCCAGGGCUACAGAGAAACCUUGUCUCAAAAAACCAAA